UAAAUAUUUUUGGAAGGAUAUAAAUGUUGAAUUAUAACCGUUUUUGAGUCUUGGUGCCAUCCAAUUGAUUUAAAUAUUUUUUUAAAAAUGAGCAAUAAAAAACGGAA